rnacentral:rRNA from 1 species
GCGUAAAGCGCGCGCAGGUGGUUUCUUAAGUCUGAUGUGAAAGCCCACGGCUCAACCGUGGAGGGUCAUUGGAAACUGGGAGACUUGAGUGCAGAAGAGGAAAGUGGAAUUCCAUGUGUAGCGGUGAAAUGCGUAGAGAUAUGGAGGAACACCAGUGGCGAAGGCGACUUUCUGGUCUGUAACUGACACUGAGGCGCGAAAGCGUGGGGAGCAAACAGGAUUAGAUACCCUGGUAGUCCACGCCGUAAACGAUGAGUGCUAAGUGUUAGAGGGUUUCCGCCCUUUAGUGCUGAAGUUAACGCAUUAAGCACUCC